rnacentral:rRNA from 1 species
UUUGGGAUAAGCCUCGGAAACGGGGUCUAAUACCGGAUAAUAUCUCUCUCCUCAUGGGGGGUGGUUGAAAGUUCUGGCGGUUGGGGAUGGGCUCGCGGCCUAUCAGCUUGUUGGUGGGGUAAUGGCCUACCAAGGCGUCGACGGGUAGCCGGCCUGAGAGGGCGACCGGCCACACUGGGACUGAGACACGGCCCAGACUCCUACGGGAGGCAGCAGUGGGGAAUAUUGCGCAAUGGACGAAAGUCUGACGCAGCAACGCCGCGUGAGGGAUGACGGCCUUCGGGUUGUAAACCUCUUUCAGCAGGGACGAAGCGAGAGUGACGGUACCUGCAGAAGAAGGACCGGCCAACUACGUGCCAGCAGCCGCGGUAAUACGUAGGGUCCGAGCGUUGUCCGGAAUUAUUGGGCGUAAAGGGCUCGUAGGCGGUUCGUCACGUCGGGAGUGAAAACUCGGGGCUUAACCCCGAGCCUGCUUCCGAUACGGGCAGACUAGAGGUAGGCAGGGGAGAGCGGAACUCCUGGUGUAGCGGUGGAAUGCGCAGAUAUCAGGAAGAACACCGGUGGCGAAGGCGGCUCUCUGGGCCUUACCUGACGCUGAGGAGCGAAAGCGUGGGUAGCGAACAGGAUUAGAUACCCUGGUAGUCCACGCCGUAAACGUUGGGCGCUAGGUGUGGGGGACAUUCCACGUCCUCCGUGCCGCAGCUAACGCAUUAAGCGCCCCGCCUGG